AGGAAAGCAAGGACCACGCCUCUGCUGGGAGCCUGGUGCACCAGCAGACACUCCGUAAUCCCUCCUGCCCGUGAGCCUGUGCCGCACAGUCCCUGGGGCUUGGUCAGAUUUGCUGUGCCACCUGGACCCUCCAUGCACAGAACAUGCUGGUCAGUGCCCGUGCUUCAGAAGAGGACCAUGUUGAUGUCAGAGUCCGUACUGCCACGAGAGACCAGGCAGAGGUCCUUGGUGCAUGCUUGUGGUCUGUGAUGUUGCCAGAAACCACGCGGAAGCCUCAGAUCUGUGCUCCUGCUGACUAUGAAGGGUCAGCUUCUUGCAGAACCCCAUUUUACUUCAAAGAAGAUGAUGAGCAUCAAAAAGCCUCCACGUGGAGUUUGCUACAUAUGUGACAAGCCGCCAUAGGGCAAACAAAACAAAACAAAACAAAACAAAACAAAACAAAACAAAACAACAAAAGUCUGCCCUUGCUUCAACUACAAGCAAGAUGCUGUCUACGCAGGACUAAGGUGACACAGAGAAGUCAGCUGCUAAGCUUUGCCAAGACAAGGAAGAAAAGCUCCAAAGAACUUCUUGUGAUAUUCUGGUGGCUUCUGGCUGCUUCUGAGGUCGCAGUUUCCUCUGUGUGGACUGCGGUUGCUGAUUCGUGAACGGUGUUUGCGAGGGAUUGAGCUGCUGCUGCUGAUUCAUGUAAACUGAACUGCUGAUAUCCUGACAACACAGGAAUUGCCCCAAGAAACUAUUUCUAAAGAGGUCCACAUGUCCCUUUGCCCUGUUAGCCUUUCCUUCCCACUACCUCUGGCGGGUGGUGGGCUAGAAGGGAGGUUAAAACAUAAGAAUCCUUAUUAAAGUAGGUUUUGAAAAAUCUAAGCCAACAGGGAAUAAAAACAACCAAACUCCUUUCCUUUAGGCUUAAUCCUAAGAGGCUCUCAGCCCUGAAGAGCAAGGGUCUGUCACUAGGAGACAAACUUGUUCGAGAGCAAAGCAAAGUCUAACAGAUAGGCCAAGCCCCCAAACACGGUAAGAGCCCUGGAUCCAGCCAUGCCUGAAAGCCACAAACAACUAGCUUUUCAAUCUAUGCGAGUCAGAGCACAGCACUGUUUGGUUAAGGCCAGUCUGAAUCGCUUUUUUUUUUUUUUUUCAAAUCAUAUAAACUGUCAAUCCCAUGGCAAACACUGGGAUGCAGGCUGCUUGGCUGGGGUUUAAAACAGUCACCGCCCGGGGCUGGGGAUUUAGCUCAGUGGUAGAGCGCUUACCUAGGAAGCGCAAGGCCCUGGGUUCGGUCCCCAGCUCCGAAAAAAAAAGAACCAAAAAAAACAAAAAAAAAAAAACAAAAAAAAAAAAACAAAAAACAACAACAACAACAAAAAAAAAAACAGUCACCGCCCACUGUUAGCUCCAUUAGGAGGCUCUGGAUGGCAAGAGCCUGAAUCUGAAGUGUCCUGGGAUGAUUUACGUGCACAGAGUGCAUCCUGAUGGGCUCCGCCCCGCCUUUGGGGAUUUCCCAGACUGUUGGGUUCAGCCUAAAGUGCGCCUCUCUGCCCACGCUGGUGGAGCUGCCCAUUUGGCAUGAAGAGUUGUACCGUCUCCUCUGCUGCUGUCCUGAGCUGGUCUUUCAGGCUUGGCAAAUGGACCGCUCUUGGACGUUUCUGAGAUGAACUCCUCCAGGCCAGGGCUGGCUCUUACUGACUUACUCUCCCAUAUAGCUUUUAGUAGAGGUCUCAGAAUAUGGACUGAAUUUCUAGGGGAAGUGGGGGGGGGGUGGGGAACCGAUGACCUGGAGUCCUAACUCUGCUUACUCUAGCUAGAUGGUCUUUGGCUACCUAGGACAGCCUAUUUUGAGCCUUAGGAGAAUUAUUAUGGAGACUGACAAGAUCUAGUCCUUUCAGUACAACAACAAAAAGAUGUGAACUAGGCCUUUUAUUUUUAAUCUAUCUGUUUAUUUUGCUCUUCUGGGGAUCAAACCCAGAAUUCUGUGCUAAGCAGCAACUCUACCAUUGUUGAUAUGGUCCUUGCCCUCUCCCACAACCUGGGGCCUCUUUUAAAGCACACUAAUCCUAUCCCAUUCAUGAGGGUAAAGCCUUCAUGAUAAAAUCAGCUCCCGUAGGUUCCCUGUCUUAACUGUUACCAUCACCUAAGUGAUUUGAUUUCAAAGUAUGAACUUGGGAAUGACAUAAUCAGACCACAAACAACAGUACUUUAUCUACUCAUCCCUUGUUUAUUUUUAUUUGUUUGAGACACUGUCUCAUUGUGUCACCUAGGCUGGCCUGGAAUGCACUGUGUAGACCAGACUGACCUUGAGCUCACACUCCUGCCUCUGCCUCCCAAGCACUGGGAUCCCAAGUGUACAUCACCAUACCCACUCACAGUCAUCUAUGCUCUGUGUACUUGGCCACACCUAAGAGUAUAGCCAUGAGGUUCUGCUGGAUACAACCUGCUCUUCUUGUAGAGGAUUUGUUCCCAGCACCCUCGUGGUAGCUCACAACUGUCUAUAACUCUUGUUUCAGGACAUCUGAUGCCCUCUUCUGACCUCAGAAGGCACCAGGCAUACACAUGAAGCACAUAUAUAAAUUCAGGCAAAUUUUAUAAAAAUAAUCUUAAAAAACAUUUUAAAAAAGACAUACUGACUGAGUUGUGGGACACAGAACUUGGGAGGCAGAGGCAGAGGCAGAGGCAGAGGCAGAGGCAGAGGCAGAGGCAGAGGCAGAGGCAGAGGCAGAGGCAGAGGCAGAGGCAGAGGCAGAGGCAGAGGCAGAGGCAGAGGCAGAGGCAGAGGCAGAGGGAUCUCUGAGUUCAAGGACAGUCUGGUCUAUAGAGCAAGUUCCAGGACAGCUAGGUUUACACAGAGAAACCCUGUCUUAAAAAGCAAAACAACAACAAAGGGGCAUCCUGGUUGCAAGCAAUGGUGGAGUAUAAAUGGACAACACGAUCACUCCAUGGUAUGGUAAAGGGAAGGUUUUCUGAAGGAGAAAACAGCCAAAGGCAUCUGGAAGAGCCUAGAGAGAGAAAAAGAUUGAACCUGGCUAUGAGAAGUAGGGGCAAGGAGACAGGAGAGGAGAGAAGAGGAGAGAGAGGAGAGAGA